AACGUAGGGGACAAACGUUAUCCGGAGUUACUGGGCGUAAAGGGCGUGCAGGUGGCUUGAUAAGUUCGGCGUGAAAUUUCCCGGCUUAACCGGGGGAUGUCGUCGGAGACUGUCGAGCUAGAGGGUGAUAGAGGCGUGUGGAAUUCCGGGAGUAGUGGUGAAAUGCGUAGAGAUCCGGAGGAACACCAGUGGCGAAGGCGACACGCUGGGUCAUACCUGACACUAAAACGCGACAGCAUGGGGAGCGAACGGG
rnacentral:rRNA from 1 species